rnacentral:tRNA from 1 species
GCCAAACUGGCUCAGUCGAUGGAGUAUGAGACUCUUGAUCUUGGGGUUGUGAGUUCAAGUCCCACAUUUGGUG